rnacentral:rRNA from 1 species
AUUGAACGCUGGCGGCAGGCUUAACACAUGCAAGUCGAGCGGAGAUGAGGUGCUUGCACCUUAUCUUAGCGGCGGACGGGUGAGUAAUGCUUAGGAAUCUGCCUAUUAGUGGGGGACAACAUUCCGAAAGGAAUGCUAAUACCGCAUACGUCCUACGGGAGAAAGCAGGGGAUCUUCGGACCUUGCGCUAAUAGAUGAGCCUAAGUCGGAUUAGCUAGUUGGUGGGGUAAAGGCCUACCAAGGCGACGAUCUGUAGCGGGUCUGAGAGGAUGAUCCGCCACCCUGGGACUGAGACACGGCCCAGACUCCUACGGGAGGCAGCAGUGGGGAAUAUUGGACAAUGGGGGAAACCCUGAUCCAGCCAUGCCGCGUGUGUGAAGAAGGCCUUAUGGUUGUAAAGCACUUUAAGCGAGGAGGAGGCUACUGAGACUAAUACUCUUGGAUAGUGGACGUUACUCGCAGAAUAAGCACCGGCUAACUCUGUGCCAGCAGCCGCAGUAA